rnacentral:rRNA from 1 species
UCGAGCGCUGUAGCAAUACAGAGCGGCAGACGGGUGAGUAACGCGUGGGAACAUACCCUUCGGUUCGGAAUAGCUCAGGGAAACUUGAAUUAAUACCGGAUACGCCCCCGGACUUGCUCCGGGGGGAAAGAUUUAUCGCCGAGGGAUUGGCCCGCGUUCGAUUAGCUAGUUGGUGAGGUAACGGCUCACCAAGGCGACGAUCGAUAGCUGGUCUGAGAGGAUGAUCAGCCACAUUGGGACUGAGACACGGCCCAAACUCCUACGGGAGGCAGCAGUGGGGAAUAUUGGACAAUGGGCGCAAGCCUGAUCCAGCCAUGCCGCGUGAGUGAUGACGGCCUUAGGGUUGUAAAGCUCUUUCGCUAGGGACGAUAAUGACGGUACCUAGACAAGAAGCCCCGGCUAACUUCGUGCCAGCAGCCGCGGUAAUACGAAGGGGGCUAGCGUUGUUCGGAAUUACUGGGCGUAAAGCGCGUGUAGGCGGGCUUUUAAGUCAGGGGUGAAAUGCCAAGGCUCAACCUUGGAACUGCCUUUGAUACUGGAAGUCUUGAGUCCGGGAGAGGUGAGUGGAACUGCGAGUGUAGAGGUGAAAUUCGUAGAUAUUCGCAAGAACACCAGUGGCGAAGGCGGCUCACUGGCCCGGAACUGACGCUGAGACGCGAAAGCGUGGGGAGCAAACAGGAUUAGAUACCCUGGUAGUCCACGCUGUAAACUAUGGAUGCUAGC